ensembl:snRNA
GUUUUGUAUGAAAGGAGAGAAGAUUAGCACUCCCCUUGAUAAGGAUGGAAGAGGCUUCAGCCUGCAACACACAUAAGGUUAAGGCAUUGCCACCUACUUCAAUUUUUU